UACGUAGGGGGCAAGCGUUGUCCGGAAUCAUUGGGCGUAAAGCGCGUGUAGGCGGUCCGGUAAGUCCGCUGUGAAAAGUCGGGGGGCUUAACCCUCGGAUGCCGGUGGAUACUGUCGGGCUUGAGUACGGAAGAGGCGAGUGGAAUUCCUGGUGUAGCGGUGAAAUGCGCAGAUAUCAGGAGGAACACCAAUUGCGAAGGCAGCUCGCUGGGACGUUACUGACGCUGAGACGCGAAAGCGUGGGGAGCAAACAGG
rnacentral:rRNA from 1 species